rnacentral:misc_RNA from 1 species
UGGAAGUAAAAGUCGUAACAAGGUCUCCGUUGGUGAACCAGCGGAGGGAUCAUUAUCGAGUUAUUCAACUCCCAAACCCUAUGUGAACUUACCACUUGUUGCUUCGGCGCGCGCUUCGGCGCCGCCGAGGACACUUAAACUCUUUGUUUUUAUAAGCAUUUCUGAGUGGCCGAAAGGCAAAAAUACAAAUGAAUCAAAACUUUCAACAACGGAUCUCUUGGUUCUGGCAUCGAUGAAGAACGCAGCGAAAUGCGAUAAGUAAUGUGAAUUGCAGAAUUCAGUGAAUCAUCGAAUCUUUGAACGCACAUUGCGCCCGCCAGCAUUCUGGCGGGCAUGCCUGUUCGAGCGUCAUUUCAACCCUCGAGCCCGACUCUUUUGAGGACGGCUCGGCGUUGGGGGACGGCAGACUCCCCCCGGCAUCUCGCCGGGGACGCCGCCCCCGAAAUCUAGUGGCGGCCCUCCGAGGCGACCUCUGCGUAGUAACUUGUUCUCGCACCGGAAAGCUCAGAGCGGCCACGCCGUAAAACCCCAACUUUUUUCAGGUUGACCUCGAAUCAGGUAGGACUACCCGCUGAACUUAAGCAUAUCAAUAAGCGGAGGA